AGACAUACAGGGGUGGGGUGUAGCAUACAUCUCUCAAAAACUCAUUCCGUACUUUUAGAUAGUUAGGGACAGAACUAUUUUUAACGCUGUUAGCAUUGCUUUAGCCCAAACAUAAAGGCCUGAAUAUUGAGCUGCACGGACAGAUUAAAAAUAAUAAUAAUAAUAUUCUGAAUAAGUGAAUCUCGCAUAAUGGAUAUUUCUGGAGGAUCCCUGACAUUUACGCAGCUUUUACGCGAUUUACCGGAUCUGGAACAACAUGAGGGGGUUCACAGGAGCAGAAGUGAGGCAGGCAAUCACCAACGGCCUUUUUUCGUUCCGACAUACAGCCAGGAAUGAUAAAGGAUGCGUUAUGGACAUCUGACACGCCGGACUUUGAUGCAAUUCUACCGUUCUGUACGAGCAAUUUUUCAAACUCACCUCGAAUCCAGGGAGCAUCGACCCCCUCCCGAAAUAUUCCAGACCGCAACAGGAAAAGAGCAGCGGUGGCCCAAGUACAUUGCUCUGAAUCAAGCCCACCAGAAAACUACUGUUGGGCCGGGGACUUGCUGCUUCACGAGCCGACGCUCCAGGGACACGGCCCAGCAGAAUCUGGAACGCUAGAGGGGAAAAGUCACACACCCCAGGUUUCGGCCAUUCGUCACAACAAGCGCCAAAAAAGCCGAGACUCCGCCCCGGCGAAAAACGGCACAUUCCCGAUGAAACACCCGAGAGAACUGUUUUUAAUGACAUGUCAGAUGUUGACGACCAGCUAUUCUGUGAUGCGGCCAACCUUAUCGAACCAGUCAAUUCUACGGCCUCAAUACCUGCAGCCGAACAAGAAAGGUUUCCAGGGCUUUGAAAUCGAGGAAUGUUUUGCUAUACAAACGACUGGGUGAUUUAAUUGAGAGACAGUACAGAGACGAUAUGUUAUUCUGGCAUACAACAAUUCCACGCAUGUUAAACAGCAACCCCAUUAAAAAACGCAAAUACAGACACUAAAAUCAUACAUGUAACACCAACCAUUACAGAAAGACCCAAAAAACGAACACCCUUAAUUAUCCAAAAAUGGCAGAACUACCGCAACAAGGGGAGACAGUUGAAAGCCUCUUAUCCCAGAUUCCAGCCAAGCUCCUAGAAGUUAUUAAAACGUAUGAACGAGUCAGGAACAUUAGAUGAAAGCAUAUUAACAGAUUCCAGCCGAACUCUUAGAAAUGAUUAAUCGUAUGAACGAGUGAGGGGUGCCUGAGGAAAACAUGUUAUCCCAGAUUCCCGAAGCCCUCAUAACCUUAAUCAGAUGAACGAGAGUCAGACAAUUUCGGCCCCGACCACCCCAACAGCGAUAGAACAACCAGUAACGCCCAGGUCCGUAAAGUCUGAAACGCCACAAGAUGUUUUGGGGGAAUUGGACAAUUGUCUAAUAAAUCUGGAGGCAGAUGUUCAUGAUAGACGUGGCAGGGUUGUGUACAGGAAUAAAUUCAACAAUACAGAGAUUCAACAGUUUCUCAAUUUCCUAUGGGUGAAUCAGAAUCUUGACUAUGCUGUAUUUUACAUGAUGAUAAUGGACACUCUAAAUGAUCUGUUAGAGACGGCAAGAGAUUAUGGCGAACCUCGUGAUGUCUUACAAUUGGAAAUGUGUGGAGAUAUACUGUGUUAUGCAGGCUCUCUUAUUUUACCCAAUGGCGAAGCAGAUCUUGAACAAUUUACCGCGCCGGUAGAACACCUUGUUCAGUCAAAUUUAGCCAUCAUAGCCCAUCGGACCCUCGAGCUUGUAGUGCAAAUAAUACGUCAACCGCAGGGGGGUGGUGGGCAGAGAAGGAAGCUUGAUAGUCUAAUGCAGUCAGAAAUCAUCAGCAAUAAAAGGGCCUACCUCAUAAACGUUCACAAUCCCGAUAAUAAGCUGUUUUGCAAUAGGCCUAGCGCAUUUACUUAACCCCGGAUGUACUGAUCUGACGGCAUAUCAAAAGGCUAGAGAGCUCCAAACGGCGGUGGGUCUCGGGAUACAGGAAGGGGUGGCAUUCUCAGACAUUGUCAAAUUUGAAAACUUUCUGAAUAUCAAGAUUGUGGUUUUGUACCACAGUAGAGCUAAUGCAGCUCUCUUGAAGUUCCAAAACACCCCAACCGCACCCUCAGAUUCUGUACGUAUGUGCAAAACGAACAUUAAUACGCCGUUACCAACAUCACGGCAUUCAUAGGCGCACCCUAUGUGUCCAUCCUGCCAUACCGGCUACACCCGAAAGGGGGGGCACUUGUGCCGUUAUAACUGUUCAGUAUGUCAGGAUGCAGAGUGCCCUAUGCAAACCCUAAACUUGACACCAUGUGAGGAUUGCCAUCGCACAUGUCGUUCGACCUACUGUUACGAUAAACACAAAAUUGAAACAUGGCACCCUAAGGCCUGUAAAUCUGUAAGCAUUUGUGCAAUUAACAAGAAAUGCCCAAAAUGUCAUUGCAAUUACAGCCUUAAAAUAGAUAGCCCUAAACCACAUGUUUGUGGAAUCAUACAUUGUCCAAUCUGUAAAGGGCCUCUGAAAAGCAUGCUGAAGUGGUUCAAGAAGUGCCACAUGAGUGUUAUAUUCAGCCCUUGGCUGAAGAUGAACAUUCAGAGAAAUAUGUGUUCUAUGAUUGAGACAAAUCAGCAAUCGGGGAUCAUUUGCCUAUUUUUGUAUCUACCAUGACAUUCAAGGGGGAAAAGUGGUCUGCAGAAGGAUCCAAUUGUGCACUACUCUUUCUAAAACAUUUUAGAAAACCACAGUACCGAAACUUUACGUUUAUAGCGCACAAUGCUAGAGCCUACGACUCUUACCUUCUGAACCCCUUGAUACAGCAAGGCGUGGCCCCCAGUGUCAUAGCUCAAGGUAGUAAAAUCUUGUGUUUUGUAGAUCCAGCCUUCAACCAGAGAUAAACAAUGUAAGCUUCUUACCCAUGAGAUUGGCUCAAAUACCAGAGGCCUUGGGUUUUGAAAACUCUGUGAAAGGCUGGUUCCCCCACUUCACAUCUGAGGAGAAUCUACAUUAUAUCGGAUCAUAUCCCAGCCCAGAAAUGUACGGGUGUGAUCAAAUGUCUCCCAAAGAGCGUGAGAGAUUCAUGACGUGGUAUGAGACAGUAAGACAUGGAGCCUUUGAUUUCCAUAAAGAGAUGGAAUCAUACUGUGACAAUGAUGUCGUUAUACUUUGUGAAGGAUGACUUAGAUUCAGAGGUAAUCAAAGAUGCAGGCAUUGACCCCUGGAGUUGUACAACUAUUGCAUCAGCAUGCAUGAAAAAAUACCGUACACACUAUCUGCCUACAGCCUCUAUAGCUAUCCCCUCGCCUGACAACUACCGACGCCAAUAUGGCCUAGGAUAAAGACAUUUUUAUUCAACAUGCUUUGAAUCGAGGGGAGAAGGCAUUUGGCUCUUACCAUGUAGAUGGCUACACCCAGAUUGACGGGGUUGAGACUGUGUAUGAGUACAACGGUUGUUUCUUCCAUGGUUGCAAAUCUUGCUUUGUGCCCCAGAACAUGUGUGUCCUAACCCAAAAGACUUUUGGGGAAAUGUACCAAGAGUUUCAAGACAAAGUUGAUUCUUUACAGGCUACUUACGGUCUAAAAGUGAUUGUUUUGUGGGAGCACGAAUGGACAGCCCUCAAAAAGUCUGAUCCUCAUGUUCAAGCAUUCCUUUCCAGCUUUGACACCCCAGAACCUCUGGAGCCAAGACAGGCCUUGUAUGGCGGCCGUACCAAUGCUUUGACAUUGAGAUAUGUAGCGCAACCCGACGAGACAAUAGGUUGUGUUGAUUUUACAUCCCUUUAUCCGCAUGUAAUGAGUUCCUCAUGCUAUCCUAUAGGUCAUCCUGAAAUUAUUCAUUGUGAUUUUGACUUACCUCAAAACUAUUUUGGUCCGACCACAGCAACAAUCUACCCUCCAAGGGGUUUGUUUAUACCUGUGUUGCCUUACAGGGGCCCUCAAGGAAAACUUUUCUUUCCCCUUUGUCGCACCUGCAGUGAAAACAUACAACAAACCCCAUGUGAUCACACUGAUCAAGAAAGAGCACUGACAGGUGUAUGGUUCACAGCUGAAUUCUAAGGCUUUAGAGAUGGGGUAUCGUGUGGCCAAAAUCUCUGAAGUAUGGAACUUUUCAAAGAAAUCAGACACUUUUUAAAGAGUACAUCAAGACCUUUUUGAGAUGUAAGCAAAUGGCUUCAGGCUAUCCUGCAUCGGUCACAGAUCAAGAGUGUAAAGACAGGUACAUUCAAGACUAUCAUGACAGAGAAGGCAUCCUUCUUGACCCUGACAGAAUAGAGGUCAACAAAACCAAAUGAAAUGUGUCAAAAUUGUACUUAAAUUUGCUUUGGGGCAAAUUAGCGCAGAGGUGUAAUAUGCUAACAACGUCGAUUAUUAAAGACCCUGAAGAAUUUUUGGAAUUCGUUUUUUCGGACCAAUACGAAAUUUCACAUUUUUCAUUCUUGAGUCAAGACAUUGCCUUGGUGCAAUGGCGACGUAACAAGUGGGUUCUACCCCCAGGUAAUGUAAAUGUGUUUCUUGCAGCAUUUACCACGGCCUAUGGUCGACUUGAACUGUACAAGCUCAUGGAGCAGCUUCAGAGGCGGGUACUUUACCAUGACACAGACUCUGGUCUAUGUAAGCAAACCGGGGGAUUGGAGCCCCCCACUCAGCAACUAUCUGGGUGGCUUAACGAGCGAACUCGCAGAGGGUGACCAUAUCACAGAAUGGUCAUCCUGUGGGCCCAAAAGCUAUGCUUUUAGAACGCUAAAGAAUCACGUGGUAUUGAAAGCCAAAGGAGUGACUCAAAACUAUGAAAAUGCCCAGCGUGUAAACUUGGAAUCAAUCACACGCUUGGUCGAGGGGUUCCUAAAUGACAGGAAUAGUGACUUGGAGAUCAGUUUGAACGCCAAUUACAAGGUUUUGUUCAAAAAUCCUAGAGACAAACUACAAAGUAACACUCUAGCUCAGCAGAUGUACCCGGGAAGGAAAUCUUACUUUAUGGAGAGCUACGAGGACACCACCCAAGCGCCAUUUUCUUAUUUAAUCGUGG